UACGGAGGGUGCAAGCGUUAUCCGGAUUCACUGGGUUUAAAGGGAGCGUAGGUGGGCUGGUAAGUCAGUGGUGAAAUCUCCGAGCCUUAACUUGGAAACUGCCAUUGAUACUAUUAGUCUUGAAUAUUGUGGAGGUCAGCGGAAUAUGUCAUGUAGCGGUGAAAUGCUUAGAGAUGACAUAGAACACCAAUUGCGAAGGCAGCUGGCUACGCAUAUAUUGACACUGAGGCUCGAAAGCGUGGGGAUCAAACAGG
rnacentral:rRNA from 1 species